GCGUAGGGAUGAAGGCUCUGGGCUGUAAACCUCUUUUAUCAAAGAAGAAGAUCUGACGGUACUUGAUGAAUAAGCCACGGCUAAUUCCGUGCCAGCAGCCGCGGUAAUACGGGAGUGGCAAGCGUUAUCCGGAAUUAUUGGGCGUAAAGCGUCCGCAGGCGGUCUUGUAAGUCUGUCGUUAAAGCGUGGAGCUUAACUCCAUUUGAGCGAUGGAAACUGCAAGACUAGAGUGUGGUAGGGGCAGAGGGAAUUCCCGGUGUAGCGGUGAAAUGCGUAGAUAUCGGGAAGAACACCAGUGGCGAAGGCGCUCUGCUGGGCCAUAACUGACGCUCAUGGACGAAAGCCAGGGGAGCGAAAGGGAUUAGAUACCCCUGUAGUCCUGGCCGUAAACGAUGAACACUAGGUGUCGGGGGAAUCGACCCCCUCGGUGUCGUAGCCAACGCGUUAAGUGUUCCGCCUGGGGAGUACGCACGCAAGUGUGAAACUCAAAGGAAUUGACGGGGGCCCGCACAAGCGGUGGAGUAUGUGGUUUAAUUCGAUGCAACGCGAAGAACCUUACCAGGGUUUGACAUCCUGCGAAUCCCUUGGAAACGAGGGAGUGGCUUCGGGAGCGCAGUGACAGGUGGUG
rnacentral:rRNA from 1 species